AGUCGAGCGAGCGAUUUAAGUGAAGUUUUCGGAUGGAUCUUAAAUUGACUGAGCGGCGGACGGGUGAGUAACGCGUGGAUAACCUGCCUCACACAGGGGGAUAACAGUUAGAAAUGACUGCUAAUACCGCAUAAGCGCACGGUACCGCAUGGUACAGUGUGAAAAACUCCGGUGGUGUGAGAUGGAUCCGCGUCUGAUUAGGUAGUUGGUGAGGUAACGGCCCACCAAGCCGACGAUCAGUAGCCGACCUGAGAGGGUGACCGGCCACAUUGGGACUGAGACACGGCCCAAACUCCUACGGGAGGCAGCAGUGGGGAAUAUUGCACAAUGGGCGAAAGCCUGAUGCAGCAACGCCGCGUGAGUGAAGAAGUAUCUCGGUAUGUAAAGCUCUAUCAGCAGGGAAGAAAAUGACGGUACCUGACUAAGAAGCCCCGGCUAACUACGUGCCAGCAGCCGCGGUAAUACGUAGGGGGCAAGCGUUAUCCGGAUUUACUGGGUGUAAAGGGAGCGCAGACGGCACUGCAAGUCUGAAGUGAAAGCCCGGGGCUCAACCCCGGGACUGCUUUGGAAACUGUAGAGCUAGAGUGCUGGAGAGGCAAGCGGAAUUCCUAGUGUAGCGGUGAAAUGCGUAGAUAUUAGGAAGAACACCAGUGGCGAAGGCGGCUUGCUGGACAGUAACUGACGUUCAGGCUCGAAAGCGUGGGGAGCAAACAGGAUUAGAUACCCUGGUAGUCCACGCUGUAAACGAUGAAUACUAGGUGUUGGUGGGCAAAGCCCAUCGGUG
rnacentral:rRNA from 1 species